AGAGUGUAGCUCAGUGGUAGAGAUUGUGCUUAGCAUGCACAAGGUCCUGGGUUCAAUCCCCAGUACCUCCA
rnacentral:tRNA from 1 species